CGGGGUAUAGCGCAGCUGGUAGCGUGCUUGGUUCGGGACCAAGAGGCCUCGGGUUCAAAUCCCGAUACUCCGACCA
rnacentral:tRNA from 1 species